CCUACGGGAGGCUGCAGUGAGGAAUAUUGGUCAAUGGGCGCGAGCCUGAACCAGCCAAGUCGCGUGAGGGAGGACGGCCCUACGGGUUGUAAACUUCUUUUGCCGGGGAGCAAAGUGCGUCACGUGUGGCGCCACUGAGAGUACCCGGAGAAAAAGCAUCGGCUAACUCGGUGCCAGCAGCCGCGGUAAUACGGAGGAUGCGAGCGUUAUCCGGAUUUAUUGGGUUUAAAGGGUGCGUAGGCGGAUCGUUAAGUCGGCGGGAAAAGUGAGGGGCUCAACCCCUGCCCGCCAUGGAAACUGGCGUGCUUGAGUGGGAGAGAAGUAUGCGGAAUGCGUGGUGUAGCGGUGAAAUGCAUAGAUAUCACGCAGAACCCCGAUUGCGAAGGCAGCAUGCCGGCUUCCGACUGACGCUGAAGCACGAAGGCGUGGGGAUCGAACAGGAUUAGAUACCCGAGUAGUC
rnacentral:rRNA from 1 species